GACGAACGCUGGCGGCGUGCUUAACACAUGCAAGUCGAACGGAAAGACCCUGCUUUUGUGGGGUGCUCGAGUGGCGAACGGGUGAGUAACACGUGAGUAACCUGCCCUUGACUUUGGGAUAACUUCAGGAAACUGGGGCUAAUACCGGAUAGGAGCUCCUGCUGCAUGGUGGGGGUUGGAAAGUUUCGGCGGUUGGGGAUGAACUCGCGGCUUAUCAGCUUGUUGGUGGGGUAGUGGCUUACCAAGGCUUUGACGGGUAGCCGGCCUGAGAGGGUGACCGGCCACAUUGGGACUGAGAUACGGCCCAGACUCCUACGGGAGGCAGCAGUGGGGAAUAUUGCACAAUGGGCGGAAGCCUGAUGCAGCAACGCCGCGUGCGGGAUGACGGCCUUCGGGUUGUAAACCGCUUUCGCCUGUGACGAAGCGUGAGUGACGGUAAUGGGUAAAGAAGCACCGGCUAACUACGUG
rnacentral:rRNA from 1 species